UACGUAGGGUGCAAGCGUUAAUCGGAAUUACUGGGCGUAAAGCGUGCGCAGGCGGUUCGCUAAGACAGAUGUGAAAUCCCCGGGCUUAACCUGGGAACUGCAUUUGUGACUGGCGGGCUAGAGUAUGGCAGAGGGGGGUAGAAUCCACGUGUAGCAGUGAAAUGCGUAGAGAUGUGGAGGAAUACCGAUGGCGAAGGCAGCCCCCUGGGCCAAUACUGACGCUCAUGCACGAAAGCGUGGGGAGCAAACAGG
rnacentral:rRNA from 1 species